ACUGCUCAGUAACACGUGGAUAACCUGCCCUUGGGUCCGGCAUAACCCCGGGAAACUGGGGAUAAUUCCGGAUAACGCAUAUAUGCUGGAAUGCUUUCUGCGUAAAAUGGAUUCGUCUGCCCAAGGAUGGGUCUGCGGCCUAUCAGGUAGUAGUGGGUGUAAUGUACCUACUAGCCUACGACGGGUACGGGUUGUGAGAGCAAGAGCCCGGAGAUGGAUUCUGAGACAUGAAUCCAGGCCCUACGGGGCGCAGCAGGCGCGAAAACUUUACAAUGCGGGAAACCGUGAUAAGGGGACACCGAGUGCCAGCAUCAUAUGCUGGCUGUCCGGGUGUGUAAAAUACACCUGUUAGCAAGGGCCGGGCAAGACCGGUGCCAGCCGCCGCGGUAACACCGGCGGCCCGAGUGGUGAUCGUGAUUAUUGGGUCUAAAGGGUCCGUAGCCGGUUUGGUCAGUCCUCCGGGAAAUCUGAUAGCUCAACUAUUAGGCUUUCGGAGGAUACUGCCAGACUUGGAACCGGGAGAGGUAAGAGGUACUACAGGGGUAGGAGUGAAAUCUUGUAAUCCCUGUGGGACCACCUGUGGCGAAGGCGUCUUACCAGAACGGGUUCGACGGUGAGGGACGAAAGCUGGGGGCACGAGCCGGAUUAGAUACCCGGGUAGUCCCAGCCGUAAACGAUGCUCGCUAGGUGUCAGGCAUGGCGCGACCGUGUCUGGUGCCGCAGGGAAGCCGUGAAGCGAGCCACCUGGGAAGUACGGCCGCAAGGCUGAAACUUAAAGGAAUUGGCGGGGGAGCAC
rnacentral:rRNA from 1 species